UUAGGAGUUGUGUAGGAGGUCAGGUCUCAAAUCAAAUUGAGUGUUUAACAUCUUCACACUACGUGUUUGAAGAUAACAAAUUUUGUACCCUCUCGAGGUCAGAUUUCAAUUUCCCAUACACAUAACUUGUGUGUCAUCGAGGGGAUCAAAUUGUAACAUAUCUAUAUACUAUUAACAAAUUAUAGGAGUUGAACCAAUAUGAACUAUUAUGAUAUUCAUUGUUAUUACUUUAACAUUUGAAAAUCCUUGUCCGAA
rnacentral:lncRNA from 1 species